GAUGAAGAACGUAGCGAAAUGCGAUAAGUAAUGUGAAUUGCAGAAUUCAGUGAAUCAUCGAAUCUUUGAACGCACAUUGCGCCCCCUGGUAUUCCGGGGGGCAUGCCUGUUUGAGCGUCAUUUCACCACUCAAGCCUCGCUUGGUAUUGGGCAACGCGGUCCGCCGCGUGCCUCAAAUCGACCGGCUGGGUCUUCUGUCCCCUAAGCGUUGUGGAAACUAUUCGCUAAAGGGUGUUCGGGAGGCUACGCCGUAAAACAACCCCAUUUCUAAGGUUGACCUCGGAUCAGGUAGGGAUACCCGCUGAACUUAAGCAUAUCAAUAAGCGGAGGA
rnacentral:misc_RNA from 1 species